GGCAGGGUAGCCUAGUGGUUAGAGCGUUGGACCAGUAACCGGAUGGUUGCAAGUUCAAACCCCCGACCUGACAA
rnacentral:tRNA from 1 species